rnacentral:ncRNA from 2 species
UUACCAUCGCGCCCCGUCGGUUUCCGAGAGGAACUAACAGGGAAUUCGAGGGCCUCGCACCUGCGCAGCUCAAACGAAACUGCCCCCGCAACUGUAGGCAUCGAGCCAACUCCAUCAUGGCCACUGGGUAGUUCAUUCCCGGGAAGGCUGGAGUCAGGUGAUGAAAUGCCAGUCAGGAGACCUGCCGACCUGCAACUUCACUG